rnacentral:rRNA from 1 species
UAACAAGGUUUCCGUAGGUGAACCUGCGGAAGGAUCAUUACCGAGUGAGGGCCCUCUGGGUCCAACCUCCCACCCGUGUUUAUCGUACCUUGUUGCUUCGGCGGGCCCGCCUCACGGCCGCCGGGGGGCAUCUGCCCCCGGGCCCGCGCCCGCCGAAGACACACAAACGAACUCUUGUCUGAAGAUUGCAGUCUGAGUACUUGACUAAAUCAGUUAAAACUUUCAACAACGGAUCUCUUGGUUCCGGCAUCGAUGAAGAACGCAGCGAAAUGCGAUAAGUAAUGUGAAUUGCAGAAUUCAGUGAAUCAUCGAGUCUUUGAACGCACAUUGCGCCCCCUGGUAUUCCGGGGGGCAUGCCUGUCCGAGCGUCAUUGCUGCCCUCAAGCACGGCUUGUGUGUUGGGCUCUCGCCCCCCGCUUCCGGGGGGCGGGCCCGAAAGGCAGCGGCGGCACCGCGUCCGGUCCUCGAGCGUAUGGGGCUUCGUCACCCGCUCUGUAGGCCCGGCCGGCGCCCGCCGGCGAACACCAUCAAUCUUAACCAGGUUGACCUCGGAUCAGGUAGGGAUACCCGCUGAACUUAAGCAUAUCAAUAAACGGAGGA